GGAGGGGUGGCAGAGCGGUUGAAUGUACCGGACUUGAAAUCCGGCGUAGGGGCAACUCUACCGGGGGUUCGAAUCCCCCCCCUCCGCCA
rnacentral:tRNA from 1 species